rnacentral:rRNA from 1 species
AUGUUUCACUCCAAGCAAUGUGUUUUCUUAGGCUAUAGUGCUCAACAUAAAGGUGUCAAGUGCCUAGAUAUUCCUACUGGACGAGUCUAUAUAUCUCGUGAUAUUGUUUUUGAUGAGACUAAAUUUCCCUUUGCUGAUCUCCACCCAAACGCCGGUGCCUUGCUUCGUAAAGAAAUUCUUCUUUUGCCUCAACAUCUUGUCGGUGACUGUGAGGAAAAUAACUGUACCGAGCACAUGUUGACUAAGAAUUCUCAUGCUUUUCUUGAGUUACGUGAUGAUGCAAAAAAAAUACUGAAGAAAAUGGUGGUCGCAACUAUGAAAAUGGUGGUCGCAGCUAUGGAAAUGGUGCAGAAACAACCCAAGCUUGGCGUUAUUUCAUGUAUAGGGAUCCAGGGAGCUUAUCUCCCUCGGGAUCACCUUCGAGUCAGGAGCAUCAGGACUAUAUGCAAUCUCCCUUGGGAUAGCUGUUGUCCUCCCCUGGGUACACUGCCAGCGAUGGCGACUCGCGGGCCAGCUAUCGAUGUGAAAACCAACAGAUCUCCGUGUAGGGGGUCCCGAGCUGUGGAUCUCGGAUAUAUGGUAACAUGA